GGCAAAGAUGAUGAUAGUAAAUAAUAUAUUUUAUGACUCAUGGUAGCUUUAACUUUGUUCUUAAAAUUCUGAGUAAUUUAAGGGUUCACAUUUGAAGAAUCUGCUGCAUUACAGAUAACAUUUUAUUGCAAGUAAAUGCAUUUCAAAAUUUGCUAUUGGUUUUGUAUUAGAUUAUUCUCAGCCUACUUCAUUAUCAAGCUAUACUAUUUUAUUCAUGCAGUUUGAUGAUCUUAUGGCGGAGAAGGAAGCUGUAUCUUCAAAAUGUGUCAAUUUGGCUAAAGAGAAUCAAGUUUUUCAACAGGAGUUAUUAGCUAUGAAAAAAGUACAACAGGAAGGUGAAAAACUUGAGGAGGAUAAAAAGAUGUUGGAAGAAGAAAUAUUAAAUCUUAAGACACAUAUGGAAAACAGUAUGGUAGAACUUAGUAAACUACAAGAAUAUAAAUCAGAGCUAGAUGAAAGGGCAAUGCAGGCAGUAGAAAAAUUAGAAGAAAUCCAUUUACAGGAACAAGCACAAUAUAAAAAACAAUUAGAGCAGUUAAACAAGGAUAUAAUACAGCUUCACUAAAUAAGAAGGAACUCACACUUAAAGAUGUGGAAUGUAAAUUCUACAAAAUGAAAACUGCUUAUGAAGAGGUUACAACUGAGUUAGAAGAAUAUAAGGAAGCCUUUGCAGCAGCAUUGAAAGCUAACAGUUCCAUGU